AGGAUGCCGAGAAGUUCUGUGUUGCCCAGAGUGGCCACCUGGCUAGCGUCCACUCAUGGCAAGAGGCUCAAUUCGUGUUUGAUCACUCGCAAAGCGUUUGGUAUUCUUGGCUGGGACUGAAGAAGAAAAGCAACAACUAUGAGUAUAGUGACGGAACAGCUUUCGACUAUGCCGAGUGGCAAAAUGACACCACGGGGGACUGCGCAUUCCCAAAUUCUGUUGGGAAGAUCGGCGGCAGCCCCUGCACAACAAAGC